rnacentral:rRNA from 1 species
AUGCAAGUUCGAGUGCCGAGCUUUCGUCACUCUUGGCCGAAAACCGUCUCUAGUGGCCACUGGCUGGAUAUACUUCACCAAGUAAAGCCCCAGGGCACUAUUCCUCUGAAUGGUACAGAAGCUCCUGAAAUGAAUCAAGUCGUAACUGAGCUCAGGGAACACCUCGUCACGAAGAGGUAUUUCAUCUUAAUUGAUGACAUUUGGAGCAUCUCGGCAUGGGAUGUUCUUAAUUCUGUUUUGCCUGAGAAUGAUCUUGGAAGUAGAGUAUUGAUCACAACUUGCAUCAGCGACGUAGCCAAAUGUUGUUCUACACGCCCAAUUGAUUUCAUCCAUCAGAUGGAGCCUCUUAGCAAGGAAGAAUCCAAGACUUUAUUUCACGAGGAGGCAAAAAGGCCCGCUGAAAAUGAGUUGUUGAAAAUGUGUGGGGGCAUGCCAUUGGCAAUACUUAUUGCAGCCGGCAGGAAAUCUGCAGGACUAGCUGAGCCAGAGAUUCGUGAGAGACGUAUCCUUUCAACAUCAGACCAAUGUUCCGCAUCGGAUGGGAUGAGAAUGUUAUUGCGCAUGAGUUAUGAUGAGCUACCUGCCCCUUUGAAGUCUUGUCUUGUAUACCUUAGUGUUUUUCCAGAAUAUUAUACCAUCAAGAAAGACCGUUUGAUACGGCUAUGGAUUGCUGAGAGAUUUUUCUUAGGAAGGCGUGAAGAAAACUUGUGGAGAACAGGAGAAAGCUAUUUCAAUGAGCUCAUCUGUAGGCGGCUGAUUCAGCCAGUGUUUGGCUACGAAGAUGGCCAGGCUGUAGGAUGUGUGGUACAUGGUGUGAUCCUUGACUUCAUCAAAACUUUGUCUAGGGAAGACAACUUUGCGACAACGAGUGCAGAUAUGAGGUCCGGACUAACUCCAUGGUAUCCGAUUCGACGGUUCUCAUUCGAUUGCUGCAUCAAGGAAGAUGAAGCCGGCAAGCUGCUCCCAGGAACCCUGCACCUAUCUAGCAUGCGAACCCUCCAAGUUUGCGGGCGUGUUGGAUGGACAACCCUCCUCACAUAUCCUAAGGUUAGAAAAGGGAAGCCUGCUCUUCGAACCUUCAAAUUUCUACGAGUACUCGAUGUGGAAGAUAAUGGUAUUUUGAGAAGCCACCAUCUGAAAGGCAUUGGAGGGCUGAUUCUGCUAAGGUACUUGGGACUUAGAGGGGCUGCUAUCCAUGAAUUACCAGGCGAAAUUGGAAAGCUGGAGCACCUGGAGACGCUGGAUGUCAGGCGCACUAACCUGAGAAAUCUGCCUGCAUCUAUAGCUGGAUUGGAAAGGAUGGUAUGCCUACUGAUUGAAGAUACCGUGAAGAUGCUGGGCGAUAUCCUUAUGAUGCAAGGACUACAAGAAGUAUCAACGAUCCGUGUCGACAACGUCAAGUCACUCCAUAAGGUCGUAGAGCUGCUGGUUCGGUCGGGGAGGCUGAGUGUCCUUGGCUUGAGCUUUGAUGGAUUAGACCCAUCUGUGGACAGUGCACGUGCCAUCGUUGAUUUCCUCAAGGUGGUUGGACACUCUAACCUUCGGUCCCUAUCUCUGCAUUGUCUUGGUGGUGACUUGGUUGGCCAACUGAACUUGUGUCCCCCGUACCAGUUGCAAAGAUUUGAACUGACUAUAUCUGGUGCAAUCCUGGGAAGUACUGCAUUUUGUAUGGCCACCUGUGUCACCCACUUGAAUAUUGAAAUUAGUCAAUUGGGAGAGCAAGGUCUGAGUAUCAUCGCGUCCGCGCCCCAUCUUAUCCUUCUCAAGUUAGUAUCUUCAGGACCUGCUGCUGCCAUGACGGACACGCACUCAUCUUCCAGAAGACAAAGAAGAAGGGUGAUAAUUUGCAGUGGCGCCUUUCCGUGUCUUAAGGUGUUCUGGUUCACAUGCAAGGCUGGUGGGAAUGAGCUGCAGUUUGAUCGAGGAGCCAUGCCACGGCUGCGGGGUCUUAGGCUCCACUUCAACGCUCUAGAGACGCUGUCUCUUUAUGGAGAUUUUGAAUUUGGCAUUGAGCAUCUCUCUAGCCUCACCAGAAUCCAUGCCGCUAUUGGAUGUGAAGAUGCUACGGCUCCGGAGGUGGAGCUUGCAGAGACUGCCAUCACAGAGCAAGUCUGUCGGAUCUCCUCCGCCAACACACCAACGAUAGAGUUCAGCAGAGAGAAGCCCGGGAUGUUUGAGGGGGAAAAGAAGAGUGUAGGUCCCCUUACAGAGACGGUGACAACGAUCACCAAGAAAAGGAGGUUGAGCAGAUGGUUGAUUACCCAGUACGAAAUGAUGCAGCGCGCCUUGUGCUCUUGCAGUUGCACAGGUAGACGCAGUGUGAAAUGA